rnacentral:rRNA from 1 species
UACGUAGGGUGCGAGCGUUAAUCGGAAUUACUGGGCGUAAAGCGUGCGCAGGCGGUUGUGUAAGACAGAUGUGAAAUCCCCCGGGCUCAACCUGGGAAUUGCAUUUGUGACUGUACGGCUAGAGUGUGUCAGAGGGGGGUAGAAUUCCACGUGUAGCAGUGAAAUGCGUAGAGAUGUGGAGGAAUACCGAUGGCGAAGGCAGCCCCCUGGGAUAACACUGACGCUCAUGCACGAAAGCGUGGGGAGCAAACAGGG